CUUCAAGCAGGAUGUGGCCAGUUUGGAAAGAGUCCAGCGUAGGGCAGUGAAAGUGGUUAGGUGGCUGGGACACAUGACUUGUGAGGAGAGGCUGAGGGAACUGGGUU